GGGGAAUAUUGCACAAUGGGCGAAAGCCUGAUGCAGCAACGCCGCGUGCGGGAUGACGGCCUUCGGGUUGUAAACCGCUUUCAGCAGGGACGAAGCUAACGUGACGGUACCUGCAGAAGAAGCACCGGCUAACUACGUGCCAGCAGCCGCGGUGAUACGUAGGGUGCGAGCGUUGUCCGGAAUUAUUGGGCGUAAAGAGCUUGUAGGCGGUUUGUUGCGUCGGAAGUGAAAACUCAGAGCUUAACUCUGAGCCUGCUUUCGAUACGGGCAGACUUGAGGGAUGUAGGGGAGAACGGAAUUCCUGGUGGAGCGGUGGAAUGCGCAGAUAUCAGGAGGAACACCAGUGGCGAAGGCGGUUCUCUGGACAUUUCCUGACGCUGAGAAGCGAAAGCGUGGGGAGCAAAC
rnacentral:rRNA from 1 species